AUGAACGCUAGCUACAGGCUUAACACAUGCAAGUCGAGGGGCAGCAUGGUCUUAGCUUGCUAAGGCCGAUGGCGACCGGCGCACGGGUGAGUAACACGUAUCCAACCUGCCGUCUACUCUUGGACAGCCUUCUGAAAGGAAGAUUAAUACAAGAUGGCAUCAUGAGUCCGCAUGUUCACAUGAUUAAAGGUAUUCCGGUAGACGAUGGGGAUGCGUUCCAUUAGAUAGUAGGCGGGGUAACGGCCCACCUAGUCUUCGAUGGAUAGGGGUUCUGAGAGGAAGGUCCCCCACAUUGGAACUGAGACACGGUCCAAACUCCUACGGGAGGCAGCAGUGAGGAAUAUUGGUCAAUGGGCGAGAGCCUGAACCAGCCAAGUAGCGUGAAGGAUGACUGCCCUAUGGGUUGUAAACUUCUUUUAUAAAGGAAUAAAGUCGGGUAUGCAUACCCGUUUGCAUGUACUUUAUGAAUAAGGAUCGGCUAACUCCGUGCCAGCAGCCGCGGUAAUACGGAGGAUCCGAGCGUUAUCCGGAUUUAUUGGGUUUAAAGGGAGCGUAGAUGGAUGUUUAAGUCAGUUGUGAAAGUUUGCGGCUCAACCGUAAAAUUGCAGUUGAUACUGGAUAUCUUGAGUGCAGUUGAGGCAGGCGGAAUUCGUGGUGUAGCGGUGAAAUGCUUAGAUAUCACGAAGAACUCCGAUUGCGAAGGCAGCCUGCUAAGCUGCAACUGACAUUGAGGCUCGAAAGUGUGGGUAUCAAACAGGAUUAGAUACCCUGGUAGUCCACACCGUAAACGAUGGAUACUAGGUGUAGGAGGUAUUAAGCCUUCUGUGCCGUCGCAAACGCAGUAAGUAUCCCACCUGGGGGGUACGGCCGCAAGGUUGAAACUCAAAGGAAUUGACGGGGGCCCGCACAAGCAGUGGAGUAUGUGGUUUAAUUCGACGCAACGCGAAGAACCUUACCAGGUCUUGACAUUGAUCGCGAUCUGCAGAAAUGCGGAGUUCUUCUUCGGAAGACGAGAAAACAGGUGGUGCACGGCUGUCGUCAGCUCGUGUCGUGAGAUGUUGGGUUAAGUCCCGCAACGAGCGCAACCCCUGUACUUAGUUGCCAGCAUGUAGAGAUGGGAACUCUAAGUAGACUGCCGCGAAUAACGCGGAGGAAGGUGGGGAUGACGUCAAAUCAUCAUGCCCUAUAUGUCCUGGGCUACACACGUACUACAAUGGACAUUAACAGAGGGAAGCAAUACAGCGAUGUGGAGCAAACCCCUAAAAAUGUUCUCAGUUCAGAUUGCAGGCUGCAACCCGCCUGUAUGAAGAUGGAAUUGCUAGUAAUCGCAGAUCAGCAUGCCACGGUGAAUACGUUCCCGGGCCUUGUACACACCGCCCGUCACACCAUGGGAGUCAGUAACGCCCGAAGUCAGUGACCCAACCGUAAGGAGGGAGCUGCCGAAGGCGGGACCGAUAACUGGGGUG
rnacentral:rRNA from 1 species